rnacentral:rRNA from 1 species
UACGUAGGGUGCAAGCGUUGUCCGGAAUUAUUGGGCGUAAAAGAGCUCGUAGGCGGUUUGUCGCGUCUGCCGUGAAAGUCCGGGGCUCAACUCCGGAUCUGCGGUGGGUACGGGCAGACUAGAGUGAUGUAGGGGAGACUGGAAUUCCUGGGUGUAGCGGUGAAAUGCGCAGAUAUCAGGAGGAACACCGGUGGCGAAGGCGGGAUCUCUGGGCCUUACCUGACGCUCAGGCGCGAAAAGCUAGGGGGAGCGAACAGGG